CCCUUAGAUGUCCUGGGCUGCACGCGCGCUACACUGGAAGUUACGGAUUGAGAUACUACCUUGUCCGAAAUGGUCCGGGUAAUCACCUAAAAGCUUGUCAUAAUUGGAAUGGAUUAUUGUAACUAGUAAUCCUGAACGAGGAAUUCCUAGUAAGUCCCAGUCAACAGCUGGUACUGAUUACGUCCCUGCCCUUUGUACACACCGCCCGUCGCUACUACUGAUUGGACGUUUAAGCAAGAUUUUUAAACACUGACAGUGUGUAGUUCACGCUAUACUACAGUGAGAAGAAGAAGAUCGAGCUUACUUGUUUAGAGGAAGUAAAAGUCGUAACA
rnacentral:rRNA from 1 species